GGUCCCGUAGUGUAGCGGUUAUCACGUCGCCCUGUCACGGCGAAGAUCGCGGGUUCGAUUCCCGUCGGGACCG
rfam:Pilibacter termitis strain ATCC BAA-1030 genome assembly, contig: EI49DRAFT_scaffold00007.7